rnacentral:rRNA from 1 species
CAGCCGCCGCGGUAAAACGAAGGGGGCUAGCGUUGUUCGGAAUUACUGGGCGUAAAGGGCGCGUAGGCGGCCAUUCAAGUUAGAUGUGAAAGCCCUGGGCUCAACCUAGGAAUUGCAUUUGAUACUGUUUGGCUUGAGUUCGGGAGAGGUGAGUGGAAUUCCCAGUGUAGAGGUGAAAUUCGUAGAUAUUGGGAAGAACACCGGUGGCGAAGGCGGCAACCUGGUCCUUGACUGACGCUGAGGCGCGAAAGCGUGGGGAGCAAACAGGAUUAGAUACCCCAGUAGUCCCUGUCUCUUAUAC